rnacentral:rRNA from 1 species
AAACAACAACUAAAUUUUCAACGGUGGAUAUCUUGGUUCCCAUAACGAGGAAGAACGCAGCGAACUGCGAUAAGCAAUGCGAAUUGCAGAAUCCGCGAGUCAUCAGAUUUUCGAACGCAGCUGGCGCCGUGAASUAACUSUUUGCGGCAAGUUUGUUUCAGUGUAGUUGAUUAUUCCAAAWCUAARUGYGAUUGAACCUCGGUUCUCUCRUUAAACAYGAGUGUCAGGUGUYCYGAYCYAUUGAAGUGGUCUCUGYCUUUUGRCUGGGGAUUUCAGURGCUCUCWGGRUGCUGYAGCACAGAMCUGUUAGUCUUUAAUMAUAAUCUUACCUGAAAUCAAGCUGGAUCACSCGCUGAACUUAAGCAUAUCAGUAAGCGSAGGAAAAGAAAUCAACAGAGAUUCCAUUAGUAGUGGCGAACGAACAUGGAAGAGCUCAAGCUGUAAAGCUCCYRCWUWUGUGGGCGCGUUGUAAGCUGAAGGUGCAUACCUAGGGUGGAACUWGCGCAUAAGWUGUUUGGAAAGCAWCGGCAAAGAGGGUGAAACCCCCGUAUUKGGCGCWGGCGAAGCACAACAGGUGGUACCGUAGAGUCGAGUAGUUUGGGAUUGCUGCUCUAAUCGGGUGAUAUACUUCAUCCAAGGCUAAAUAUCGAUKGGAAUCCGAUAGCGAACAAGUACUGUGAAGGAAAGAUGAAAAGAACUUUGAAAAGAGGGUGAAAAGACUUGAAACCGUUGAGAAGGAAGCUAUGGGAGUUGGCCGUUGCUGGUUAUGUACGACGAAACCGAAGCGUGAGGGGUUCUUUACAGGCCCGGAGCGUGAAGGGGAGGAAGUGCCUCUACCAGCAGAAGGCAGGAUGGGUUUUCRGAGCGUCAGAAGCUAGYWACUUUUGGGUWRYWAGUGUGGCGUUCYGGGGACCGAGGGGCUUWUGCGAUCCUGCCGAAAAGGCUUCUAUAGACCCGUCUUGAAACACGGACCAAGGAGUCAACCACUUAUGCGAGUUUGCGGGUGAWAAACCCAUAGGCGUAAUGAAAGUAAGUUCAAGRUGCCAAGGUGUAAAAACUGGCAGCAUCGGCCGUCCAUGWCCUUYUGGGMAAGGUAUGAGCAAGAGCAUAAUUGUUUGGACCCGAAAGAUGGUGAACUAUGCAUGAGUAGCGUGAAGUCAGGGGAAACUCUGAUGGAAGCGCGAAGCGAUACUGACGUGCAAAUCGUUCGUGAAACUUGUGUAUAGGGGCGAAAGACUAAUCGAACCAUCUAGUAGCUGGUUCCCUCUGAAGUUUCUCUCAGGAUAGCUAGGGCAAUGAAGCAGUUUUACCAGGUAAAGCGAAUGAUUAGAGGUACCGGGGGUCUUGAACUCUCGGCCUAUUCUCAAACUUUAAAUUGGUAAGAACCAUUGGGUUUUCUUAUUUGAACCCUUGGGUAGAAUGCGUGUCCUAUGUGGGCCAUUUUUGGUAAGCAGAACUGGCGAUGAGGGAUGCACCUAACGUUGGGUUAAGGCGCCUAAGUUCGUAAUAAUUUGACACCAUAAAAGGAGUAUGCUCGUUUAGACAAUUGGACGGUGUCCCUGAAAGUAGGAAUCCGCUAAGGAGUGUCUUAAAACUCACCAAUCGAAUGGGUAUGCCCUGAAAAUGGAUGGCGCUACAUUACGAUGCCGAUACUCAACCAUCGGAGCAAAUAUGAAGCUUUGAUGAGUAAGAGGGCGUGAGCGUAGUACAGAAGCUAAGGCGUGAGCCAAGGUGGAACUGCGCUUAGUGCAGAUCUUGGUGGUAGUAGCAAUUAUUCAAAUGAGAACUUUGAAGGCCGAAGUGGAGAAGGGUUCCAUGAGAACAGUAUUUGGUCAUGGGUUACUCGGUCCUAAGACGUAGGGAAAUUCUUCUAUGUAAGUGCKAUUMGCACGAUGUCAAAAGGGAAUGRGGUUAAUAUUCCYCAAGYCUGUCKRGGAUAUURUGCGGYAACGCAAMYGARCUCCGAGACGUCAGCAYGAACUCCUGGUGGGAUUUUCUUUCCCAUUUAACURCUUAUCGCCCUGGAAUUGAAUUAUUCAGAGAGAUGGCUUAAAGGYAGGAAUAGCAGMCCACYWUUUGGGCUGUCAGGUGCGUUCRUGAUGAUCARUGAAAAUCRGRGGGAGAYUAYUAUUYGCYMGCAGRUCCGUACCAACAACCGCAUCAGGUCUCCAAGGUUARCAGCCUCUGGUCGAUAAAAUAAUGUAGAUAAGGGAAUUCGGCAWAAUAGAUCCGUAACUUCGGGAWAAGGAUUGGCUCUGAGGAUCGGGYGGGAUGGYRYCCUUNWYSRMWRCUYKGGGANYUUYAMRGAUCNGKGKUUMYGCYMUAGUCUGYGAGRMMCYCWRKMUGRMRYUGUGRYRRMGCCUGCAMUUAACGAUCAAUUCAGAACUGAAGCGGACAAGGGGAAUCCAACUGUUUAAUAAAAACAUAGCAUUGUGAUGGCGUGAAAACGUGUUGACACAAUGUGAUUUCUGCCCAGUGCUCUGAAAGUCAAUGUGAUGUA